rnacentral:rRNA from 1 species
UGGGGAAUAUUGCACAAUGGGCGCAAGCCUGAUGCAGCCAUGCCGCGUGUAUGAAGAAGGCCUUCGGGUUGUAAAGUACUUUCAGCGGGGGGGAAGGGAGUAAAGUUAAUACCUUUGCUCAUUGACGUUACCCGCAGAAGAAGCACCGGCUAACUCCGUGCCAGCAGCCGCGGUAAUACGGAGGGUGCAAGCGUUAAUCGGAAUUACUGGGCGUAAAGCGCACGCAGGCGGUUUGUUAAGUCAGAUGUGAAAUCCCCGGGCUCAACCUGGGAACUGCAUCUGAUACUGGCAAGCUUGAGUCUCGUAGAGGGGGGUAGAAUUCCAGGUGUAGCGGUGAAAUGCGUAGAGAUCUGGAGGAAUACCGGUGGCGAAGGCGGCCCCCUGGACGAAGACUGACGCUCAGGUGCGAAAGCGUGGGGAGCAAACAGG